rnacentral:rRNA from 1 species
GACGGAGGAUGCAAGUGUUAUCCGGAAUCACUGGGCGUAAAGCGUCUGUAGGUGGUUUAAUAAGUCAACUGUUAAAUCUUGAAGCUCAACUUCAAAAUCGCAGUCGAAACUAUUAGACUUGAGUAUAGUAGGGGUAAAGGGAAUUUCCAGUGGAGCGGUGAAAUGCGUAGAGAUUGGAAAGAACACCGAUGGCGAAGGCACUUUACUGGGCUAUUACUGACACUCAGAGACGAAAGCUAGGGUAGCAAAUGGG